AGCGAACGCUGGCGGCAGGCCUAACACAUGCAAGUCGAACGAACCUUUCGGGGUUAGUGGCGGACGGGUGAGUAACACGUGGGAACGUGCCUUUAGGUUCGGAAUAACUCAGGGAAACUUGUGCUAAUACCGAAUGUGCCCUUCGGGGGAAAGAUUUAUCGCCUUUAGAGCGGCCCGCGUCUGAUUAGCUAGUUGGUUGAGGUAAUGGCUCACCAAGGCGACGAUCAGUAGCUGGUCUGAGAGGAUGAUCAGCCACAUUGGGACUGAGACACGGCCCAAACUCCUACGGAAGGCAGCAGGGGGGAAUCUUGCGCAAUGGGCGAAGGCCUAACGCAGCCAGGCCGCGUGAAUGAUGAAGGUCUUAGGAUGGUAAGAUUCUUUCACCGGGGACGUUAAUGACGGUACCCGGGGAAGAAGCCCCGGCUAACUUCGU
rnacentral:rRNA from 1 species